rnacentral:snRNA from 1 species
GGAUGUGAGGGCAGUCUGGCUGAGACCUCACCCCACUGAUUACCAGGGUUGAUUUGGCUGAUCUGACUGGCUAGUUGGUUGACCCCUUCCUCACUCACCAUCCCAACCCGUUCUGAAGCUGUGUGCUCUAACAAUGAUGAUCACCUGAUAGAGGAAGAUAAUUUCAUUUGUCAAAGGUAUAUAAGUAGCUAUGUUCCCCUGAUAAAAUCUCCAAACAAGCAGUAAAAAAAAGGCACUAAAUCAGAAAUAUAUACUACCAGUAAGU